rnacentral:rRNA from 1 species
CCUUACUGCUCAGUAACACGUGGAUAACCUGCCCUUGGGUCCGGCAUAACCCCGGGAAACUGGGGAUAAUUCCGGAUAACGCAUAUGUGCUGGAAUGCUUUAUGCGUAAAAUGGAUUCGUCUGCCCAAGGAUGGGUCUGCGGCCUAUCAGGUAGUAGUGGGUGUAAUGUACCUACUAGCCGACAACGGGUACGGGUUGUGAGAGCAAGAGCCCGGAGAUGGAUUCUGAGACAUGAAUCCAGGCCCUACGGGGCGCAGCAGGCGCGAAAACUUUACAACGCGGGAAACCGUGAUAAGGGGACACCGAGUGCCAGCAUCAUAUGCUGGCUGUCCGGGUGUGUAAAAUACACCUGUUAGCAAGGGCCGGGCAAGACCGGUGCCAGCCGCCGCGGUAACACCGGCGGCCCGAGUGGUGAUCGUGAUUAUUGGGUCUAAAGGGUCCGUAGCCGGUUUGGUCAGUCCUCCGGGAAAUCUGAUAGCUCAACUAUUAGGCUUUCGGGGGAUACUGCCAGACUUGGAACCGGGAGAGGUAAGAGGUACUACAGGGGUAGGAGUGAAAUCUUGUAAUCCCUGUGGGACCACCUGUGGCGAAGGCGUCUUACCAGAACGGGUUCGACGGUGAGGGACGAAAGCUGGGGGCACGAACCGGAUUAGAUACCCGGGUAGUCCCAGCCGUAAACGAUGCUCGCUAGGUGUCAGGCAUGGCGCGACCGUGUCUGGUGCCGCAGGGAAGCCGUGAAGCGAGCCACCUGGGAAGUACGGCCGCAAGGCUGAAACUUAAAGGAAUUGGCGGGGGAGCAC